rnacentral:rRNA from 1 species
AUUGAACGCUGGCGGCAUGCCUUACACAUGCAAGUCGAACGGUAACGCGGGGUAACCUGGCGACGAGUGGCGAACGGGUGAGUAAUGCAUCGGAACGUGCCCAGUAGUGGGGGAUAGCCCGGCGAAAGCCGGAUUAAUACCGCAUACGACCUACGGGUGAAAGCGGGGGAUCGCAAGACCUCGCGCUAUUGGAGCGGCCGAUGUCAGAUUAGGUAGUUGGUAGGGUAAAAGCCUACCAAGGCAACGAUCGGUAGCUGGUCUGAGAGGACGACCAGCCACACUGGGACUGAGACACGGCCCAGACUCCUACGGGUGGCAG